GGGAGUAAAAAAACAACAACCCUCAACACUCAACAACUUAUUAAAAAUCUCCAAAUAAGAAACCACAUUCAGUGAGGCAUUUUGCAGCGCGCAGGUGAGAUUGACGAAGCAACAAACUUCAAGCAGAAGCAGUCAGCCACAUAAGAAGCGGAUUUGCAACUUUAACCGUACCAAGACAGACAAGCAAGCAAGCAGCGCUUGCAGUUCAAAUCACUUAUCCUUCCCACCAUGCUGAGAGGGACCCAUGUGACUGCAAGCCGGACCUCUGGCCACUCCAGAGGCGUGGCUCCCCCUGCUAUAUCGGCAGGGAGCAACGCAACGAGGGGGUCAUUUAGAAGUUAAUCCUCUUCUUGUCCUCCUUUGUUCUCACUUUUUCAGGGGAUUGCUGGAGAAAGGAGUCCUGGUCGGUCCUCAGCGCCCGUUUGCAGAUUUUGUUAGUCAAGUUUCCCCUCUACACUCAUAAACGUUUCCUUUUCUGGGACAAAAUGCUCCCACCCGACCCGCCGAAUUCGGUUAUCAGAACAAGUUGUAUGGACCAGGCUCUUGUUACUAUUUUAUUUGGAGGGCAGGGAAGCAACAUCACAAAACAGGCACCCAAAAUGAUCUGAUUACAAUUCCGCUAAGGCGGCGGUCCGAUACACACACUUAACUUGGAAGUAAAUCUCAUUGAACUGAACAGGACCUCACUUACUUCUGAACAGAUAGGGCGGGAUUUGCCUUACGGUAUUGGACUGCAAUCCAGCUGCACACGGUAUAGGGACUUCGGAGGCAACAUGCAUCUUCAGAUUCGACUGCAUGUUCAUUCGUGAAGCAUGAUGAAGACGAUCCGGACCCAGAGAUAGUAUGCAUGCAUGAUUCCCUGUGUGCACUCCUAUUUCCUACUCAGAAAUAAGCCCCGUUCUCUUUGAUGGGGUUUGCUCAUGAUUGCCAACUCUUCAGGAUUGGUCUUGAAUCUCAGGGAAUCAGCAUCACUCUCCAAGUGACUUUUGAAAAGAGCCCUGCUGGAUCAGGCCCAAGGCCCAUCUAGCCAAGCAUCCAGUUUCACACAGUGGCCCACCAGAUGCCUUUAGGAAGCCCACAGGCAGGAGCUGAGGGCAUACUCCCCCCACCCCUGCUCUUGCUGUUGCAACCCUGCAACUGGUAUUCAGAGGGGUCUUGUCUCUGAAGCUGGAGGUGGCCUACAAUAGCCCUCAGACUAGCAGCCAUUGAUAGAGCUGUCCUCUAUGAAUUUAUCUAAACCCCUCUUAAAGCCACCCAGGCUGGUGGCUGUCACCACAUAUUGUGGCAGAGAAUGCCAUAGUUUAAUUAGGCAUUGUGUGAAAAAAUACUUCCUUUUUUCAGUCCUAAAUCUCUUGGCAAUCAGUUUCAUGGGAUUACUCCUGGUUCUAGUGUUAUGCAAGAAGGAGAAAAAUUUCUGUCAACUUUUCCCACACCAUGAAUGAUUUUAUAGACCUAAAACUCAACCAGUUACCAAUCCACACACAAACCUAUCCCCUUAUCUCAUGACUGCUAAAUUUUCUUAAGUGUUUUUGAUGACGAACUUUGUCAAAAGCUUUUUGAAAGUCCAGGUAUACUAUGUCAACGGGAUUAUCUUUAUCCAGCCACCUGUAGACACUCUCAAAGAACUCCAAAAGGUUGGUGAUGCAAGAUUUACCUUUGCGGAAGCCAUGGCGGUUCUCCUUCAACAGGGAGAUUUUAUGAAAAUCGAUGUUACAUUUACUUUCAAGUCCUCCAGUACAGUGCCUGAUUGUAGGAAUCUAUUAUAUUAAUCCUUGUAGACGUGCCUGUGGGGAUGCAUCCCGGCAACCCAGUGGAUUGGCUGGGUGGCAGAGGCUCACAGGAGGCUGCCAAGGAGGCGGCUGCGGGCCCGGCCACUUCAAGGAGUGCGGCAGCAGCAGGAGGGAACGGGCAGGGGGGCGGCAACAUGUAGAUAGAGAUUAAAUAAUCUCUAUUUAAAAAUUUUAAAACCUCUAUAAAACAAUAAUACAUAAAACACAGAGCAGCAGCAGUAAAAACUAAUCUCAUUUUAAAGCCUGGGUGAAGAGCCACGUCUUUACUUGUUUUCUAAAAACUGGUGGAAGCUGGGGAGCAGAUGCCAGCCAGGAGAGCAUCCCAAAGCCUGGGGGCAAUGGGUGAGAUGGCCCUGUCCUGCGUGCUCGACAGCCAAGCCUCUUUCACCAUUGGUGCAUGGAGCAGAAUCCCCUCUGAUGAUCUUGUCCAAGGGGCUGAAACCCUUGGGAGCAGGCAGUCCUUCAGAUGUCCAGCGUUGGUUGAAGAGCGUUCUAUAAAUAUUGGUUGGCUUUGUAGUAUUCAGGAAACAUUUUGGAGCCAUUAGUUUAAGCAGCGCACAUGACAUAUAUUGAAUUGUACUUGUAUGAUCUGUUUCGUCAUUUAAUUGCACUACUAUUUUAUGUUUAUUUAUUAAUUAAAGUCUUCAAUCUUUAA